rnacentral:rRNA from 1 species
AUAGCGUAUAUUAAAGUUGCUGCAGUUAAAAAGCUCGUAGUUGGAUUUCUGGCCUGAAACAUUUUGCCGCCCACGGGUUCGUGUGUUAGUGCUUUGUGUUCUGGCCAUCCUUCCAAUCGCUAUUCACCUUUCUUCAUUGAUUGGUGAGUGGUAUUGGAUCUUUUACUUUGAAAAAAUUAGAGUGUUUCAAGCAGGCUUUAUGCUAUGAAUACAUUAGCAUGGAAUAAUAAUUUAGGACUUCGGUUCUAUUUUGUUGGUUUCUAGGACUGAAGUAAUGAUUGAUAGGGAUAGUUGGGGGUGCUAGUAUUCAGCGGCCAGAGGUGAAAUUCUCGGAUUCGCUGAAGACUAACUUAUG